CCUACGGGUGGCAGCAGUGAGGAAUAUUGGUCAAUGACCGCAAGUCUGAACCAGCCAUACCGCGUGCAGGAAGACGGCUCUAGGAGUUUUAAGCUGCUUUUUUACGAAGGUAAACUCGGAUCCGCGUAUCUGUCUAGACUUAUGGUACGAUGAAGGAUCGGCAAACUCGAUGCCGGCACCCGAGUUAAGACGGCGGAUUGAACCGUUGUCCGGAUUUGUUGGUUUAAAAGGGUGAGUAGGCGGGCGGGUAAGUUAGAGGGGAAAUCCCGAGGCUAAAGGUCGGAAUUGCCUGUGAUACUGUGCGGCUAGAGAGUAGUUGCGGUAGGAGGAAUGUAUGGUGUAGCGGGGAAAUGCUGAGAGAUCAUACAGAACACCGAUUGCGAAGGCAGCGUACGAAGCUACUUCUGACGUUGAGGCACGAAAGCGUGGGGAGCAAACAGGAGUAGAUACCCGUGUAGUC
rnacentral:rRNA from 1 species